rnacentral:rRNA from 1 species
UACCAGACUCCUACGGGAGGCAGCAGUGGGGAAUAUUGCACAAUGGGGGAAACCCUGAUGCAGCGACGCCGCGUGAGCGAUGAAGUAUUUCGGUAUGUAAAGCUCUAUCAGCAGGGAAGAAAAUGACGGUACCUGACUAAGAAGCUCCGGCUAAAUACGUGCCAGCAGCCGCGGUAAUACGUAUGGAGCAAGCGUUAUCCGGAAUUACUGGGUGUAAAGGGAGCGUAGGCGGCAAGGCAAGUCUGAUGUGAAAACCCAGGGCCCAACCCUGGGACUGCAUUGGAAACUGUAUUGCUUGAGUACCGGAGAGGCAGGCGGAAUUCCUAGUGUAGCGGUGAAAUGCGUAGAUAUGAGGAGGAACACCAGUGGCGAAGGCGGUCUGCUGGACAGCAACUGACGCUGAGGCGCGAAAGCGUGGGGAGCAAACAGGAUUAGAUACCCUGGUA